rnacentral:rRNA from 1 species
CACGUAGGCGGCUUGGUAAGUCAGAUGUGAAAGCCCGGGGCUUAACCCCGGAAGUGCAUUUGAUACUGCCAAGCUUGAGUAUGGGAGAGGGAGGUGGAAUUCCUGGUGUAGAGGUGAAAUUCGUAGAUAUCAGGAGGAACACCGGUGGCGAAGGCGACCUCCUGGAUCAAUACUGACGCUGAGGUGCGAAGGCGUGGGUAGCAAACAGGAUUAGAUACCCUGGUAGUCC